CUACGUGCCAGCAGCCGCGGUAAUACGUAGGUCCCGAGCGUUGUCCGGAUUUAUUGGGCGUAAAGCGAGCGCAGGCGGUUAGAUAAGUCUGAAGUUAAAGGCUGUGGCUUAACCAUAGUACGCUUUGGAAACUGUUUAACUUGAGUGCAAGAGGGGAGAGUGGAAUUCCUAGUGUAGCGGUGGAAUGCGCAGAUAUUAGGAAGAACACCAGUGGCGAAGGCGGCCUUCUGGGCCAUAACUGACGCUGAGGAGCGAAAGCUAGGGGAGCAAACAGGAUUAGAUACCCUGGUAGUCCUAGCCGUAAACGAUGGACACUAGGUGUGGGGGAAUAUUUYUUCCGUGCCGCAGCUAACGCAUUAAGUGUCCCGCCUGGGGAGUACGGCCGCAAGGCUAAAACUCAAAGGAAUUGACGGGGGCCCGCACAAGCAGCGGAGCAUGUGGUUUAAUUCGAAGCAACGCGAAGAACCUUACCAGGGCUU
rnacentral:rRNA from 1 species